UACGUAGGGUGCGAGCGUUGUCCGGAAUUAUUGGGCGUAAAGGGCUCGUAGGCGGUCUGUCGCGUCGAAAGUGAAAACCCAGGGCUUAACCCUGGGCCUGCUUCCGAUACGGGCAGACUAGAGGUAUGCAGGGGAGAACGGAAUUCCUGGUGUAGCGGUGAAAUGCGCAGAUAUCGGGAGGAACACCAGUGGCGAAGGCGGUUGCCUGGGGCUUUGCUGACGCUGAUGCGCGAAAGCGUGGGGAGCGAUCCGG
rnacentral:rRNA from 1 species